UACGGGGGGGGCAAGCGUUGUUCGGAAUUACUGGGCGUAAAGGGCGCGUAGGCGGCCUUCUAAGUCGAACGUGAAAUCCCCGGGCUCAACCCAGGAACUGCGUCCGAUACUGGAAGGCUUGAAUCCGGGAGAGGGAUGCGGAAUUCCAGGUGUAGCGGUGAAAUGCGUAGAUAUCUGGAGGAACACCGGUGGCGAAGGCGGCAUCCUGGACCGGUAUUGACGCUGAGGCGCGAAAGCCAGGGGAGCAAACGGG
rnacentral:rRNA from 1 species